rnacentral:rRNA from 1 species
AACGCUGGCGGCGUGCUUAACACAUGCAAGUCGAACGGAAAGGCCCUGCUUUUGUGGGGUGCUCGAGUGGCGAACGGGUGAGUAACACGUGAGUAACCUGCCCUUGACUUUGGGAUAACUUCAGGAAACUGGGGCUAAUACCGGAUAGGAGCUCCUGCUGCAUGGUGGGGGUUGGAAAGUUUCGGCGGUUGGGGAUGGACUCGCGGCUUAUCAGCUUGUUGGUGGGGUAGUGGCUUACCAAGGCUUUGACGGGUAGCCGGCCUGAGAGGGUGACCGGCCACAUUGGGACUGAGAUACGGCCCAGACUCCUACGGGAGGCAGCAGUGGGGAAUAUUGCACAAUGGGCGGAAGCCUGAUGCAGCAACGCCGCGUGCGGGAUGACAGCCUUCGGGUUGUAAACCGCUUUCGCCUGUGACGAAGCGUGAGUGACGGUAAUGGGUAAAGAAGCACCGGCUAACUACGUG